rnacentral:rRNA from 1 species
GACGAACCGUGCGAACGUUGUUCGGAAUCACUGGGCUUAAAGGGCGCGUAGGCGGGCAGCCACGUCUGGGGUGAAAGCCCCCGGCUUAACCGGGGAAUCGCCCCCGAUACGGGCUGUCUCGAGGGGGGUAGGGGCGCGUGGAACUUCCGGUGGAGCGGUGAAAUGUGUUGAGAUCGGAAGGAACGCCGGCGGCGAAAGCGGCGCGCUGGGCCCACCCUGACGCUGAGGCGCGAAAGCCAGGGGAGCGAACGGG